AGCUGCAUUCAAAGCUGUUCUGGGCUGC
rnacentral:piRNA from 1 species